rnacentral:rRNA from 1 species
AUUGAACGCUGGCGGCAUGCCUUACACAUGCAAGUCGAACGGCAGCACGGGAGCAAUCCUGGUGGCGAGUGGCGAACGGGUGAGUAAUGCAUCGGAACGUGCCCAGUCGUGGGGGAUAACGUAGCGAAAGUUACGCUAAUACCGCAUACGAUCUGUGGAUGAAAGCGGGGGACCGUAAGGCCUCGCGCGAUUGGAGCGGCCGAUGUCAGAUUAGGUAGUUGGUGGGGUAAAGGCCCACCAAGCCGACGAUCUGUAGCUGGUCUGAGAGGACGACCAGCCACACUGGGACUGAGACACGGCCCAGACUCCUACGGGAGGCAGCAGUGGGGAAUUUUGGACAAUGGGCGCAAGCCUGAUCCAGCAAUGCCGCGUGCAGGAUGAAGGCCUUCGGGUUGUAAACUGCUUUUGUACGGAACGAAACGGUGCCCUCUAAUACAGGGUGCUAAUGACGGUACCGUAAGAAUAAGCACCGGCUAACUACGUGCCAGCAGCCGCAGUAACAC